ACUACCUUUAAAUACCUACUUUUUUCUUUCUUUUGAGAAAACACUUCAUGUCGCAGACUUGCCACAGACACCUGAUCACUCUGCCACUGCUUCUCAAGUUCUGGGGUGAAAGGGAGUACGCCAGCAGGAUCAAUGUGACCAAUGAAUACAAGAUAUUGUGACUCUUCAUGGAGGAAGCUUAGAUAUCCUAUGGAAAAUUUCGUCUUGAAGAGGAAUUAUCAAGACAAGGGAUUUUUACACUGGCAUUGAUGGACAGUGGUGGUGUUAGAUUGCAAAUGAUCUAAGAACACUCUCCAAUUUUCUGUUCAGAUUCAUAAACUCAAGUAGAAAAUGGCAAAAGAAAGAUGACUGAGAUGGCUUUCGAAUGCACCAACAUCCUGUGCUGCCGACAUGCCAAGUGCUCUGU